rnacentral:rRNA from 1 species
GACUAACGCUGGCGGCGUGCCUAACACAUGCAAGUCAAACGGAUAUGCCAACAAAGCUUCGGUGGAGUUGGAACAACAUAUUAGUGGCAGACGGGUGAGUAACACGCAAACAAUCUACCAUUCAGACGGGGACAACCUUGGGAAACUAGGGCUAAUACCGGAUACGCUUUUAGAGUCGCAUGACUUUAAAAGGAAAUCAGCUUGCUGGCUGAAUGAUGAGUUUGCGGCUGAUUAGUUAGUUGGUGGGGUAAUGGCCUACCAAGACUAUGAUCAGUAGCUGGUCUGAGAGGAUGAACAGCCACACUGGAACUGAGACACGGUCCAGACUCCUACGGGAGGCAGCAGUGAGGAAUUUUGCGCAAUGGGCGAAAGCCUGACGCAGCGACGCCGCGUGAAUGAUGAAGCCCUUCGGGGUGUAAAGUUCUGUC